UUUGGCAGAAGCAUCCCUUUCAGCGAGAGGCUUUUUUGGCUGGAGCCUUUCAGGUGAGGACUCAGAGGAUUUCAGUCAGAGGAUUUGUAGAAUUGGUGAGGUGAGAUGUGGCAGUGGCUUGUUUCUUUGUCUCUCUGAUCUUUCAGCAUUUAUCCCAAUAUCUGGUAUCGAGUUUUUUUAUUGUAAGAUCAAUCAGCAAUUCGUGUAACACCCAUGUCUAACUCUGGUCUUGCUGCCCUGUCUGCUGCCUCAGGACAUGGAACCUGAAUGUAAAAGCCUUCCAGACAAGUGUGCUCGGUGCCUCUCUCUUUCAGUCACCACCAGUCCAGCCAUGUGUUCCAGUUUCACAGCUUACGUGUGUGGCUGCCAUAGCCUUUGGCUGACCUCCAUCAUCCUCACUCUCACCCAGUCCUUUCUCCAGACCUGACCAUUCAGUGGCUCUGUACUUCACUCUUUCUUGGUCACUGUUUGCUGAAAGCCCUUUCCAAGCUUCAGGAAUAAAAUUCCACAGUCAUCACAAGACUUACCCUUAUCCCUGGCUGCCUUAACUCUAUUCUUGUGUGACAGACACAAUGACUUUUGAUGUUGGGUUUUAUUUUUUUAAUUGCAUAUAUAUGUGGUUGUCUUAUGUGCAGGUAUAUGCAUAUAAGAGCAGGUGCUCACGGAGGCCAAAAGAGGGCAGCAGAUCCCUUGGAGCCUGAGUUACAGGAGGUUGUAAGCCACUGAUUAGGCUGCUGGAAUCAAACUCAGUCCUUUAGAACAGUGCACGAUUUUAAUUGAUUAGUUGUCUCUCCAACUCCUGCUGUUGCUUUUAACUGACACACAAUGCAUAUGUUAUAGAGUACAGUGUGAUGUUUCAACAUAUGUAUAUCAUAUAACAAGCAUGACCAUUACCUCAAACUUUUGUCAUUCAUGUAUGGAGACCACAUAAACUCCUUUUAUUAGCUCCAACAUUUUAAUUUUGUAUGUGGCAAUGUUUUUAAUUGGCAUUUGUUUUUGUACCUCCUCCUCCAUUCCCUCUUUCUACCCAUCUCCAUCCCUCAGAUCCAGUGAUACUCUGACUCCAGUGGUCUCUCUCUGCUUCCAUUUCACAUGCAUUCUAUUACUCUUCUCCUAUUAAUAUCUCUUUCUCCCUUUAAUGGUCCUCUUUCUAGUUUCACAUCUAUAAAUCCAGGAUCCACAGCUAAGAGAAGAUGUGCAAUAUUCGUAGUCUGUCUUAUUUCAUGUAGCAAAAUAAUUUCUAGUUUUGUUAAUUCUCUGACAAAUGUUAUAAUUUCAUUUUUCUUUAUGGCUGAAUAAAACCCCUUUGUGUCUAUGCCCCAAGUUUCCUUUAUUAAUUCAUCUAUUGAUGGAUGUCUAGGUUGGUUCCACUUCUUAGCUACUGUAAAUAGUGCAUCAAUAAACAUGUAUAUAGAGCCAAGAUUUGAAGUCUCCUGGAAGGCACCACACUCUGUCACCUCGGGCCUGUGCAAUGAUGUCCCUCUCUCUUCCAAACACCCCCCUCACUCCCUUUCUCAUUUGUCUGGUUUUUACUCAUCUAUAUGAUUCCAUCUUAGAAACUACCAUGUUUUGUUUUCAAAUAUACUGUCUACAUGGUAACAACUUUGAAUUGGGGUACCUCAGUCUGGGUGCAUCCAUUGGUGUGGGCUGUUAUCUGGCAGCUGUCAGGAUGCUGUUGCUCAUGUUCAUUUGUGUCUCUGCCCACAUCAGCUGUGGAAGCAUUCAUCACAACAUGCAGAAUGCGGCUGGUGGUUUGACUGUGAAUCCUGAAGACACAGUGGCUCACUCUCGUAAAUGGAUGGUGCUAGAAAAUAUCAUCCUGAAUGGGAUAACCCAGACCCAGAAAGACAAAUUUGGCCCAGUCUAAGAGAUGGAAUCCAUACUUGACACUGCUUGGGUGGCCAAGAACCUGAGACCAGAUCCGUGGUGCCUUGCUCAACCAUCAUCAGAGAAGCUUCCUCCUGCAGCAGAUGGAGACAAAUACAGAAACUGACAGCCAGACAGUGUGCAGAAAGUGAGAGACCUUGGAAUACUCAGCCCUAAAUGGAGUCUCCAUCAAAUGCCUCCCCAUAGGGCUCAAAGAACUCUGUGGAAGAAGAAGCAGAAAGAGUGCAAAAGUCAGAGGGGAUGGAGGACAGCAAGAAAAAGAAAACAAGACUUUCUAAACACAACAGGACUGAUGCACAUAAUGAAAUGAUGGAGACUUAGGCAACAUACACAGGGACUGACUGCUUGUGUCUAUACUAGAAGAGGUCCUAGAGCUGCGAGAAGUAGACACAUACCUCCAUCCCUAACGCAACAACUACCUCCAACUGGUAACUGCUUGCAAAGGGAUAGUUUAGUUUUCUCUAAUAGAGUUUUACUGGGUAUACAAAUCACACUGAGGGCAGGCCUCAUUCCCAGCAAUAGACAGACAACACAAAAUGAAUUCAGUGGCUGGCAUCUCAUAAUGCUGUGUCUGGACCUUCCCCCCUGCCCUGCCCCUUCAGGUCCUUUGAGUAUAUAUCAUGGCUUCUGAUUUGGUGUUUUUAUGGGAUGCCCCCCACUGUGUGGCUGUGUGUGUGUGUGUGUGUGUGUGUGUGUGUGUGUGUGUGUGUGUGUGUGUGUGAUUGUAUUUAUUGUGUUUCUUAUUUGGCUCUUAUUUCUGUUUGAUUUGUUCUAUUCUGAUUUUUUUGUUUUAUCUAAUUUUAAUUUAUUAUUCUUCUGUAGAUGUUCAUUUUCUAUGGAGAGACAGAUAGGGUAUGGAUCGAAUGGUGGAAGAAAGGAGAGGAACUGGGAGGAAUUGGGGAAGGUGAAACCAUAAUCAGAAUACACUGCAUGAAAAAAAUCUAUUUUCAAUAAAAGAAAAAAAAAGAACUGAAGAACUGAUCUCCCACCCUAAGAUUUCUCCCAGUUGUGCAUACAAUGAUAUUUAA